GCGGAAGUGGCGAAACUGGCAGACGCGCAAGACUUAGGAUCUUGUGAGGCAACUCGUGCGGGUUCGACUCCCGCCUUCCGCACCA
rnacentral:tRNA from 1 species